AAAACCUCCCCCGACUGUCAACAGGACAAUAAUUUUGCUGGAUCACAGCACUGCCGAUAUUUCACUGUUAUUUCAGCAGCCUUCUAACCAGAGGAGGCUCUGGACGUCUGCCGUGGGUUGAGAGCUGAAUUCGGACGCCAGAAAGUCCUGCUUAUUCCUGCCAGAGCUGUUUGCCUGUGGAUGUGCGGACGAACUGCGGAAGUUCGGUUCGACUGUGAUCCCCCUUGGCGUCGUCGAGUUCUCGCCUCUUUUUAAAGUCACAAUCCAUAGUGUCAGCCGCCGCCGCACUACGUGGGUCAGCAAGUAACGGGACACCUCUCGCCACUGGGUCAACAUCGAGCAGUGGGCAGCUGCAGCACUCGGGGACCAACUCCAGUUCUUCUUUCUAUUGCCUUGCUCAGGGGCACAGACAGGAGUAUUAACCCUAACGUGCAUGUCUUUCUGAUGGUGGGAGGAAACCGGAGCACCCGGAGGAAACCCACGCAGACACGGGGAGAACAUGCAAACUCCACACAGAAAGGACCUGGGACGGCCUGGGGUUCGAACCCAGGACCUUGCUGUGAGGCAACAGUGCCUAACCACUGGGCCGCCGUGCUGCCCUUGAGAUAUGGGGAUGACAGGACAGACAUCAUUGUAUUACUCUUCUUGUUGUUCUGAUGCUUGUCCACUGAUACAGUGCUGCUGAGUCUGUGGUACUCUUACUAAUGUGACCUCAUGUGUGCCUUUUAUGUUGCACCUCAUGGGGCAGUACUAAUCGCCCUUUGGGGAUAAAUAAAGUUGAGGUUGAAGUGAGGCGGACAGCGGCUGUGUACAUCAAUUGCUGAUUGUACCUUUAAGUCAGAGGUUACGAAGACCAACCGAGGAACCACGUGGUCGAUAUCAUGGAGUUUUGUUUAAAAAUAUAACAGAUUUGAAUCUUCUAGAUUGGUUCCCAUGCUACUUCAUGCUGUGAGCCACCUGUGGGGGGUACUUUUUGAUCCAAGACCCAACAAAUAUUUUGUGUAGUAAAAUCAGUAAG